UACGUAGGGGGCAAGCGUUGUCCGGAUUUAUUGGGCGUAAAGAGCGUGUAGGCGGCCUGACAGGUCUGCUGUGAAAACUCGAGGCUCAACCUCGAGAUGUCGGCGGAAACCGUCUGGCUAGAGUCCGGAAGAGGAGAGUGGAAUUCCUGGUGUAGCGGUGAAAUGCGCAGAUAUCAGGAAGAACACCUAUGGCGAAGGCAGCUCUCGUGGGACGGUACUGACGCUGAGACGCGAAAGCGUGGGGAGCGAACAGG
rnacentral:rRNA from 1 species